rnacentral:tRNA from 1 species
GCCUCUGUAGCUUAAACACCAAAGCAUUG